CUUUUGUGAGGGGGUCGGACAUACAUAUGGUUUUAUAUUUUUUCGACAUCGAAAAAAUAGAGUUUUCUGGCUCGUCCGGCUAUGGAUGAGGCGCCCGGGAUACUGGGACAUAAUGAACAAUUUUUUAUGGCUGUUGGAAUGCAUUUACUCCAUCCUAUGGGGUCGAUAGUCCCAACACAAAGUUUGAUGUGUCAUGACAUUUUGGCAAGUCAGAUUAAUACCUUUUUGAAAUCCGGUGUGUCCGAAGAUUGUCUCAGUGACCUUUUGCGUUGAUAUCCUGUGCCGAAGAAUUGCCCGCUCAAUAACUCUCCUAAAUUGAAUGUGCAGAUGAAAUCUGCCAUCAACAAAGGUGGAAAGAAAAGGGAUGAGAGACUGACUGCAACAAGGGGUGCUUUGAUGGUGGUUGGUAGGGCGCUCUUGACCUUGCUUUUGAAACCGGUUAAGGAUGAGUAGUACUUACUUCUCAUCGAAAUGUUGAGUAAUGCAAUAUUUGUUUUAAGCAAAAUACACCAUUUAGGUUCAGUAUAUAGAAGUUCAGCCGCGUUAAGCCUUUCGCUGGUCUAAAAUGAAAUGCAGCCUUGUAUGAAGGAAGUGCUCGUUGGUGCUUCUUUGCACUCUUGUUUAUAUGGAGAAGAUUUGGCUGAUAGGCUCAAAUCAAUCAGAUUAGCUGCAGAUUAGUGGCCGAGUUAAAGUCAGGUGCAUCCGGAACAAGGCUUUUAUAGCAUACAAAUUUAAACUUGACCGUCCCACUUCGUUCCCGGAAGUUGCAAGGCUGAAGUGGGUGAAAGUCAUUGUACCCUCAAAAGAGGGAAUACAGGAAGGUUCGAGAGGAAAGGGGGUGGAGUUGUGUCCCCAGGAAAAAAUAAUCCGGAGGCAUCUAAUGAAGACGCGUUUACUGUUUU